rnacentral:rRNA from 1 species
GAUGAACGCUGGCGGCGUGCUUAACACAUGCAAGUCGAACGGAAAGGCCAGUGCUUGCUCCGGUGCUCGAGUGGCGAACGGGUGAGUAACACGUGUGUAACCUGCCCUGCACUUUGGGAUAAGCCAGGGAAACUGGGCCUAAUACCAGAUAGGACCCUACUUUGGAUGGUGUGGAGGAAAGUUUUUUCGGUGUGGGAUGGGCUUGCGGCCUUGCAGCUUGUUGUAGGGGUCAUGGCCUACCAAGGCGUCGACGGGUAGCCGGCCUGAGAGGGUGUACGGACACAGUGGGACUGAGAGAGGGGCCGGAGGCGGAAGGGAGGCAGCAGGGGGGAAUAUUGGACAAAGGGCGCAAGCCUGAUGCAAGGAGGCCGCGGGGGGGAAGACGGCCUUCGGGCUGAAAACUCCGUUCGCAACUGACAAAGCGUUUUGUGACGGUAGGUUGAAAAGAAGCAACGGCUAACUACGUG